GACAGAGGGUGCAACGUUGUUCGGAAUUACUGGGCGUAAAGCGCGAUGUAGGCUGUCUCGAAAGUCGGAUGUGAAAGCCCUGGGCUCAACCUAGGAAGUGCAUUCGAAACUUCGAGACUCGAGUCCUGGAGAGGAUCGCGGAAUUCUCGGUGUGAGAGGUGAAUUCGUAGAUAUCGAGAGGAACACCGGUGGCGAAGGCGGCGAAUCGUGGA
rnacentral:rRNA from 1 species